rnacentral:rRNA from 1 species
AAUCCUACGGGGGGCAGCAGUGAGGAAUAUUGGUCAAUGGGCGCGAGCCUGAACCAGCCAAGUCGCGUGAGGGAAGACGGUCCUAUGGAUUGUGAACCUCUUUUGUCGGGGAGCAAAAGACGCCACGCGUGGCGUUCCGAGAGUACCCGAAGAAAAAGCAUCGGCUAACUCCGUGCAAGCAGCAGCGGUAAUACGGAGGAUGCGAGCGUUAUCCGGCUUUAUUGGGUUUAAAGGGAGCGCAGGCGGAAGAUCCAGUCAGCGGUAAAAUUGAGAGGCUGAACCUCUUCGAGCCGUUGAAGCUGGUU